rnacentral:rRNA from 1 species
CGUUUAGGGGUAAACCUGAGAAACCCGAAAGGUCGAAGGGAGAAAUUCAGACGACGCGCCCGGAGUCGAACGCGUGCACUUUUCUCCUGGUAGGACGUCGCGAUCCGUUGGGUGUCGGUCUAGUCCGUUCGUCGAACGAACCCCGGCCGACUCGCUCGACGGUAGAGCCGCUUAGCGUUCGACUCGCGGCAAGCGCGUCAGAUGUUGGCCGGACCCGGUGCCGAUUCUAACCUCUGAUGACUGUUGGCCGUCGAACAGAC